rnacentral:rRNA from 2 species
AGAGUUUGAUCCUGGCUCAGGAUGAACGCUGGCGGCGUGCUUAACACAUGCAAGUCGAACGAACCUUCGGGUUAGUGGCGGACGGGUGAGUAACGCGUGGGAAUCUGCCCUCAGGAGGGGGAUAACGGUUGGAAACGACCGCUAAUACCCCAUAUGCCGAGAGGUGAAAUGAAUUUCGCCUGAGGAUGAGCCCGCGUCUGAUUAGCUUGUUGGUGAGGUAAUGGCUCACCAAGGCAUCGAUCAGUAGCUGGUCUGAGAGGAUGAUCAGCCACACUGGGACUGAGACACGGCCCAGACUCCUACGGGAGGCAGCAGUGGGGAAUUUUCCGCAAUGGGCGAAAGCCUGACGGAGCAACGCCGCGUGAGGGACGAAGGCCUCUGGGCUGUAAACCUCUUUUCUCAAGGAAGAAGAUAUGACGGUACUUGAGGAAUAAGCCACGGCUAAUUCCGUGCCAGCAGCCGCGGUAAUACGGGAGUGGCAAGCGUUAUCCGGAAUUAUUGGGCGUAAAGCGUCCGCAGGCGGCCUUUCAAGUCUGCUGUUAAAACGUGGAGCUUAACUCCAUCAUGGCAGUGGAAACUGAUCGGCUUGAGUAUGGUAGGGGCAGAGGGAAUUCCCGGUGUAGCGGUGAAAUGCGUAGAUAUCGGGAAGAACACCAGUGGCGAAGGCGCUCUGCUGGGCCAUUACUGACGCUCAUGGACGAAAGCCAGGGGAGCGAAAGGGAUUAGAUACCCCUGUAGUCCUGGCCGUAAACGAUGAACACUAGGUGUCGGGGGAAUCGACCCCUUCGGUGUCGUAGCUAACGCGUUAAGUGUUCCGCCUGGGGAGUACGCACGCAAGUGUGAAACUCAAAGGAAUUGACGGGGGCCCGCACAAGCGGUGGAGUAUGUGGUUUAAUUCGAUGCAACGCGAAGAACCUUACCAGGGCUUGACAUCCUGCGAACCUUUAAGAAAUUAGAGGGUGCCUUCGGGAACGCAGUGACAGGUGGUGCAUGGCUGUCGUCAGCUCGUGUCGUGAGAUGUUGGGUUAAGUCCCGCAACGAGCGCAACCCACGUUUUUAGUUGCCAGCAUUUAGUUGGGCACUCUAGAAAGACCGCCGGUGAUAAACCGGAGGAAGGUGUGGAUGACGUCAAGUCAUCAUGCCCCUUACGUCCUGGGCUACACACGUACUACAAUGCUACGGACAAAGGGCAGCAAACUCGCGAGAGCUAGCAAAUCCCAUAAACCGUGGCUCAGUUCAGAUCGUAGGCUGCAACUCGCCUACGUGAAGUAGGAAUCGCUAGUAAUCGCAGGUCAGCAUACUGCGGUGAAUACGUUCCCGGGCCUUGUACACACCGCCCGUCACACCAUGGAAGUUGGCCACGCCCGAAGUCGUUACUUUAACCCUUGUGGAGAAGGACGCCGAAGGUGGGGCUGAUGACUGGGGUGAAGUCGUAACAAGGUAGCCGUACCGGAAGGUGCGGCUG